rnacentral:rRNA from 1 species
ACUCCUGCGGGAGGCAGCAGUGGGGAAUAUUGCACAAUGGGCGCAAGCCUGAUGCAGCCAUGCCGCGUGUAUGAAGAAGGCCUUCGGGUUGUAAAGUACUUUCAGCGGGGAGGAAGGCGAUAAGGUUAAUAACCUUGUCGAUUGACGUUACCCGCAGAAGAAGCACCGGCUAACUCCGUGCCAGCAGCCGCGGUAAUACGGAGGGUGCAAGCGUUAAUCGGAAUUACUGGGCGUAAAGCGCACGCAGGCGGUCUGUCAAGUCGGAUGUGAAAUCCCCGGGCUCAACCUGGGAACUGCAUUCGAAACUGGCAGGCUAGAGUCUUGUAGAGGGGGGUAGAAUUCCAGGUGUAGCGGUGAAAUGCGUAGAGAUCUGGAGGAAUACCGGUGGCGAAGGCGGCCCCCUGGACAAAGACUGACGCUCAGGUGCGAAAGCGUGGGGAGCAAACAGGAUUAGAUACCCCUGUAGUCCCAUG